rnacentral:rRNA from 1 species
CCUUUUAAUGAGAGUUUGAUCCUGGCUCAGGACGAACGCUGGCGACGUGCCUAA